rnacentral:tRNA from 1 species
GGGUCGUUAGCUCAGCCGGUAGAGCAGUUGGCUUUUAACCAAUUGGUCGAUGGUUCGAAUCCAUCACGACCCACCA